GUAACCAAUUUUGUUUUUAUUUUUAGAUUUUAGGGUUGGAGUCUUGAUCUUGUGGUCUGGGCCUGGGUCUCAAAAGAAAAAUCUUGUUCUCUAGGUUUAUACUCAAUCAGUUUCAAAUUAAUUUGAAAUUCUGCAAUAAAUGUAUGAAUUAUCUUGUUUUGGUACAUUAAAAUGGGCAUCUUCAUUCUUGUACUGAUGUGAUUUGGCCUAGAUCUGGGCCUUAAAGGAAUAGUUCACCCAAAGAAUGAAAAUUUGCUGAAAAUUUACAUCGACAUCUUGGAUGACCUGAGGGAGCUGCAAAGAAGACGGAGAAAGCCAGAGUAAUGCCAAGCCAAAUGCCCUGCAUUUAUCAGUAUCCUUAUGUUCGUUGGGUGAAAAAGAAAAACUCAAUAAACAAAGUAAAAAAUAAUUUGACUGAUAUCCCCCACCCUAAGACAGCCCUAAAAUACACGUUCACCUGAUUUAUACCAAAAUCAUUCCCAUGUUUACUUUUUUUAGCUCGGUGCACAUGGGCCGGUCAGGUGACUUUGUUCCUGUCAGAGGGCGAGAGAGACACCCUAAAGGGCAUUCCAGUGAAGCAUACCCUUGUGUCUCCAACCACGUCACAGAGACACAGAGAUGUUAUCUCUGAUGGACACUCAUAUGGAAGUGUUUAGGGCGGCACAGAUAUAGCGGGAUCCUGUCGCCACUCAACCCACAGCCACCCUCAGAGGGGCAUGAUCCUAGCAACUGGAGGUCAAAGUUCAGCAGAGCUGAGUAAAACUGGAAGGAUCCAGAUCUCAACCCUUAUGAAACGCUCUGAUAAGUCUGUAUGUGUUUUUUAAAGGUUCAACCACUCAAAUCAGUUUUUUGUAAGGUAGUUCACAUGACAUUAUUUAUAAUUAUAUUUAUUUUUAUUUUUACCCUGGCAUGUUCCCUUGCAACAUUAAAACGCAUUAUAAAUUAACCAUUUUAGUAUACUAAUUUUUGAGUGAAAAUGGUUUCUGCACCAUUUUUUUUUAGCCCAGCGUGUCUAUUUUCUAAAAGCUAAAUAUUUUUUUCUUUUUCAUUAAUCUGUUACAUUUGGAUGUACACUGUAAAAAAAUUUUAUUUUUUUUUAAGUUGUAAAUAAAAGGUUUUACAAGAAAAUACUAUUUCAGACUUUCGUCUUAAAAAUGUCAUGUUUAAUUCAGUGUGUUAAUUGCCAUUUUUUUGUAAAUAAUUGUGAAAUUUACUGGCAAUUUUUAAGUGAAAAUCACAAUACUGAAGAAAAGAUGUCACAACUUUUACAUUUUAACUUCUGUUUUCUGUGACACAAUAUAUUUGUAGCAAGUGUCACAAUAUUUGAAGACUGCAAAAUAUUUUCAUUUAAAAUAUCUAAACAUUUUAUUAAAAUAAAUUGACUUUUAACUGUCCCAGUUAUGAAAUUGUUCUAGUUUUAAUUGUAACCUGAUUAAUUUACUAGAUUAACAACCAUUCAAAACACCCUAGCAACUGCUUAGCACCCACACCAACCUGGCAACCAACCUUAACAGCCAGUUUAUUCAAUGUAAAAAUGUACAAAUCUAGUUGAACAUGAGAUUGUUCAAUUGUUGAAUAAUUUUGAAUAAACACGUUAACAUAAUGCUAAUAGAACACUUGCUCAUCUAUUUUGCACUAUUUAAUCAUAUUUACAUUUAUGCAUUUAGCAGAUGCUUUUAUCCAAAGUGACUUAAAAAUAAAAGAAGAAGGGGGUUAAAGGGGUAAAUUUAUGUAACUUCAUGUGUCUCAUAUUUACUGGUAUACUCAAUAAUAAACAUUAAACCGUUUUGAACUGCUGUCUAUUGUCUUUUAAAGUGCUUUCCAUUUGUGCAUGUGGCA
ensembl:lncRNA